rnacentral:rRNA from 1 species
CAGUCGCCGCGGUAAAACGUAGGGCGCGAGCGUUAAUCGGAAUUACUGGGCGUAAAGCGUGCGCAGGCGGUCGUGUAAGACAGGUGUGAAAUCCCCGGGCUUAACCUGGGAACUGCGCUUGUGACUGCACAGCUAGAGUAUGGCAGAGGGGGGUGGAAUUCCACGUGUAGCAGUGAAAUGCGUAGAGAUGUGGAGGAACACCGAUGGCGAAGGCAGCCCCCUGGGCCAAUACUGACGCUCAUGCACGAAAGCGUGGGGAGCAAACAGGAUUAGAUACCCCCGUAGUCCCUGUCUCUUAUAC